GGGUAGUCUUGACCUUCUUUACCUGGCCAUCCUUGGGUGGCCAGUGAGGCAAUAGAGACCACUCCUAGCAUUGCUCUACAUAAACGCAGCUCAGACCCUUUGUGGGCAGGUGCUCUGAAGCCACAUCUGAGAUGCCUCCCCAUGGGCUCCUCUUCAGGAGCCGGUUCCUUAGGACCCAGGCACUAGAAAGGAUCAGAGCACUGAGCAAACCAGGACCGCAGGACUUUACAUCUAAGAGGAAUACUUGGCCGCCUUUGCCCAUGCGAAAAGCCAAGGGGUGGUAGUUUCUGGGCUCUUGGCGCGAUUCACUAGCUGCCCCAUAACCUCGUGGGCAUUUAGGGAGCCAUGAGGAGCUGGCGCCUCUUCAGCCCUCUUCCUCCAACACAGCCCCCACUUCCCAAGGCCAUCACAGGGAGGUGAGGGUAGGCUGAGGAAGGGAAAUUCCAUCAAGCAGAGGAGUCUGGAACAAGUCCUAGAGCCAAUGUCACCUUGUAUAUUUGCUCCCAUCUGGGACCAGCCCGUGGGAAGCAGCGCCUGGGGACGAGAAUGGAUCGAAGGAGAAUACGGAAGGAUAGAAUUUUCCAGAGCAACAGGAACCCUCAUGUGGCGGAGUGCAAGGCAAACGGGAUAGAUGCGAAGGAUUUGUAGUCAGUCUUUUUGCCACGUUGGGGCCAGAAAGUGGAAGAGAGGUCACUGUAGAGCUUUGCCACAGAGGCCUCCAGCCUGCCUAGAGCAAGGCAUUAUGGGAAGGGCUAGAGCACCUCUGAGGCCCCUCUCAGCAGCGUUUGCAUUAGUCACAGGUGGGAAUGAGCAGACAGAACCAGGGUCUCCACAUGUCCCUCAGGGCCAAUGAUCUGCAUCUUGAAUCCAUUUCAUAUUGAGGUCUGAAGGGUUCUGUCUGGAGAGGUCCACGCCAGGUCUGUGCAGUCCGAGGGUUUCGGAAAGGAGGGACCUCCUAGCUUCCCAGCCAGACUCCUUGUGUGGCUUAGGCUGCCCCCUGCUGGAAGUUCUGGGAAAUGCAAGAACGCUGAAGCUGGGCCGGCUUCUGGUGAUUUGCUUAGGUGACUCAGGGGCCAGGGAGUCGGAUACUCCUGAGCUGGAGAACUGAGUUAAGUCCAGCCUCAGAGGACCAUGCGGAGGCCAGGCACCCAGGGCGGGGCAGGGCAGGACAGGACAGGAUAGGACGAGAGUUGCCUACCUACCACUGAAGUGGAGCCGGACUGCUACAGAAAAAUAAAAUAAUAAAAUAAAAUAAAAUGAAAUAUAAAAG
ensembl:lncRNA